GACCUGGGCGAUAUGGAAAAUAUCAAAUGUCGAUAUUAUUGACUAAAUACAUCAAUGUCAAUAUUGCAUUGAUAUGGUAGGGUUGACAUUUGGUGCUUUCACAAAUAUUAACACAAUGAGAUAUUUGAUAAAUAAUCCUCAGUAAUGUGGAGACAAUGACUAAGAGGGUAAAGGACAAUAUUAAAACAGUUGCAACAGUCUGGUAAGUUCAGAA